rnacentral:miRNA from 1 species
UUAAAAAAUGGGGCUCAGUAUCGCUUCUCGGCCUUUUGGCUAAGAUCAAGUGUAAAAAAUGGGGCUCAG